AUCUAAAUUUCUGUAAUUUUAGAUAGUAUAGGUAGUAUAGGGGCGGAGGUACCCAAUGGGCUCAGGGCAGGGAAUUUUUAAAUCCCCCA
rnacentral:tRNA from 1 species